GGGAGGAGGAAGCAGACGGAACGCUGGAGAGAGGGUAACCUCCUCCUCUCUCCAGCGUUCCGUCUGCUUCCUCUUCCCC
rnacentral:pre_miRNA from 1 species